CGUCGUCCGAGAGUGUUGGGUCUGCUUCUGUUGGGAAGCGAGAGAUUCACGGAUGCUACGUAUGUUGUGAGGAGACUUAAUAAAAUAAUCAAUAACUGUUGGAUGGGGCAGUAUAGUAGUUGGACCACCGCUCCAAAAGAAGUAAAGGAAUUGUGGUGGAAUGAGUUCAGGGUAAGUUUUGUCAUUCUAUUUUCUCACAAACUAAGUUCGGUUUAGCAUACUGAGUGUACAUUUGUUUUUCUAUUGAUUGCUUGCAGCGGAAGUUCAGGUGGGA